AGUCUGCGGUGAUUCGCUUUGGAUGGAAGUCAUGGAAGAUGAAGGUGAAUCUUCCAUUUUGUUUAGGACUUUUUUGAGGGAAGACACCAGUCCUGGCAGCUCUAAAAUAAGGAUAUAAUAUAAAAAGGGGAAAAGGCAGAAGACAUAAACAGUACAAGCAGUACCUUUGCAGCACAGGUGUUGAAGUCCCUGACAGAAUUUUAGGACAUCAUGACAGAGAACUUCCAGCUCACCAUGAUGCACCACUGCAGCCAAUAGCAGGAAAACGGAAGAGAGCUGACAGUAAGAAUGGAUCAGCUGCUGAGGACAAUGUAGUUGAUCUAGGAGAGCACCAGACCAUGCAAGAACCAGAGAGUGAGAGACCCAACCCAAAUCCGUCACAGAAUGGAUCAGCUGCUAAGGACGAUGUAGUUGACAUAGGAGAGCAACAGACCAUGCAAGAACCAGAGAGUGAGAGACCCAACCCAAAUCCGUCACAGGAUGGAAAUUGUGAAGAUGACCUUUUGUACCCAGGAGCACCAAUUACCAGAGGUCAAAGUUUGCUGCUUCUAAUGGCUUACGUCCUGAGGCAUAACCUGACCGGGAUUGCUCUGGACCAUCUUUUACGGAUUUUUCAUGAACUUUUCCCUGCACUGAUACCAGCAACCUCGUAUCUCUUCCAUAAAUCCUAUGGCCUAUAUGGCGAGUAUGUGCCCCAUUUCUACUGCCACCAGUGUUCAAAUUAUAUUGGAACAAAAGAUUGUGGUUUAACACAGUGUGUUCUGUGUGAGGCAGAAUUUGAUGUGGAUGCUAGUCUAGAAAAGGGUUCAUAUUUUUUGGUUAUCAGUUUAUCUUUGCAAAUUAAAGAGAUUCUGGAAAAUCCCAACAUCAAAACCCAAAGAUAUACAUCAACUCCAGGUUUAAUUUGUGAUGUCCAAUGUGGAGGGGAGUAUAGGAGGCUUAAAGAUAGUGGUGAAAUAGGUGAUGAUGACAUCAGUCUGAUCUGGAACAGUGAUGGGAUCCCUGUUUUUAAAAGCUCUAGAUGCCAAAUAUGGCCGAUUCAGUGCCAAAUCAUAGAACUACACCCUACAGACAGGAAGAACAACAUAUGUGUUCCUUGUCUUUGGUUUGGAGAGAGCAAGCCUAAUAUACAGACUCUCCUAAUUCCAUU